rnacentral:rRNA from 1 species
GACGAACGCUGGCGGCGUGCUUAACACAUGCAAGUCGAACGGAAAGGCCCUGCUUUUGUGGGGUGCUCGAGUGGCGAACGGGUGAGUAACACGUGAGUAACCUGCCCUUGACUUUGGGAUAACUUCAGGAAACUGGGGCUAAUACCGGAUAGGAGCUCCUGCUGCAUGGUGGGGGUUGGAAAGUUUCGGCGGUUGGGGAUGGACUCGCGGCUUAUCAGCUUGUUGGUGGGGUAGUGGCUUACCAAGGCUUUGACGGGUAGCCGGCCUGAGAGGGUGACCGGACAAAUUGGGACUGAGAUACGGCCCAGACUACUACGGGAGGCAGCAGUGGGGAAUAUGGCACAAUGGGCGGAAGCCUGAUGCAGAAACGCCGCGUGUGGGAUGACGGCCUUCGGGUUGUAAACAGAUUUCGCCUGUGACGAAGCGUGAGUGACGGUAAUGGGUAAAGAAGCACCGGCUAACUACGUG